rnacentral:lncRNA from 1 species
GGUUUGACUCUAGAUUUUGAUCUUACUAGCCAUGUGGCCUCUUAACUUAUUCAAGCCUUGCUAGGUUUCCUCAUCUAUAAAAUGAGGGUAAUAAUACCUAGAUGUCAUGAACUCUGUUAAUGUCAAUGUUACACUGAUUCACAAGUGUAAGAAGCAAGACUUGAACUUGGGUCUCUCCUAAUUCUGAGUCCAGAGUUCCAUAGCAUAUUUGUCUCUUUAACAUCCAACCUAUGUCCAGUCCUUUCAUUGGUGACCUGGGAUUGAAUCUUAUCUUAUCUCUACCACAUAAUAGGGGAAGGAAUAAGCAUUUAUAUUCCCCUACCAUGUGCUAAGCACUUUUUUCUUUUACAAAUGUCUCCUUUUAUUCUCACACUAAUCUUGUGAGGUGGGUGCUCUUAUUUUCCCCAUUUUAUAGUUGAAGAAACAGGUUAAGUGACUUGUCUAGGGUCACAGAGCUAGUAAGUAUUUGAAUGAAAUAAAACUACAAUAUAGAUAGUUACUUUGUGGUUUUCUGAGUCAACAUGCAGCUCAAAGAGAACAGUUUUAUUUGAAUCUGACCUCACCAAUCUGGACCAAAUUCUUCUUUUUACAGAUGAAAAAACUGAAGUGGUUCAGUGACUUGCUCAGGGCUAAUACCUUGUAUUAGAUGAGAUUUGAAUCUAGGUCUUCUGCCCUCCAAGUCCCACAAUCUGACCACUCUUCCACUCUUGAUUCAACUAAAAAUGGGCUAAUAAUAUUUCUUCCACUCAUGAGAAAAGUCUUAUGGAAACCAUUCAAGUUUGGAGAUUUGUGAGCUGUUGCUGUUCUUAUUGUUUGAUUAGGGGUGCCUGCCAAAGCUGGAGCAGCUUCAGAAGGUUGUCCUUGACCGUGUGUUGUGGUGCUGUGUUGGGGCACUGGCUCUGGAGCUACUCGCUGCACUCAUCAUUGGAUUCUUCAUGGAACAAUCAACACUUCCAGAUUAUCGCAUCCUGGAGUCAGGCAUGUUUUCCUAGAAGAGAGUGUUCAUGGAAGUGA